GUGAGGAAUAUUGGUCAAUGGUCGAGAGACUGAACCAGCCAAGUCGCGUGAAGGAAGAAGGAUCUAUGGUUUGUAAACUUCUUUUGCAGGGGGGUAAAGUGAGUGACGAGUCAUUCAUUGCAAGUACCCUGCGAAUAAGCAUCGGCUAACUCCGUGCCAGCAGCCGCGGUAAUACGGAGGAUGCGAGCGUUAUCCGGAUUUAUUGGGUUUAAAGGGUGCGUAGGUGGAGAGAUAAGUCAGUGGUGAAAUCCUGAUGCUUAACGUUAGGAUUGCCGUUGAAACUGUUUUUCUAGAGUGUGAUUGAGGCAGGCGGAAUGUGUGGUGUAGCGGUGAAAUGCAUAGAUAUCACGCAGAACUCCGAUUGCGAAGGCAGCUUACUAAGCUACAACUGACACUGAAGCACGAAAGCGUGGGGAUCAAACAGGAUUAGAAACCCCUGUAGUCC
rnacentral:rRNA from 1 species